GAGUUUGAUUAUGGCUCAGGAUGAACGCUAGCGAUAGGCUUAACACAUGCAAGUCGAGGGGCAGCAUAGAAUCAGCUUGCUGAUUUAGAUGGCGACCGGCGGAUGGGUGCGUAACGCGUAUGCAACUUACCUGUCAGAGGGGGAUAACCCGGAGAAAUUCGGACUAAUACCGCAUAUACUUGAGAUACUGCAUGGUGUUUCAAGGAAAUAUUUAUAGCUGACAGAUAGGCAUGCGUUCCAUUAGCUGGUAGGUGAGGUAACGGCUCACCUAGGCUACGAUGGAUAGGGGAACUGAGAGGUUAAACCCCCACACUGGUACUGAGACACGGACCAGACUCCUACGGGAGGCAGCAGUGAGGAAUAUUGGUCAAUGGGCGAGAGCCUGAACCAGCCAAUUCGCGUGAAGGAUGACUGCCCUAUGGGUUGUAAACUUCUUUAGUAGGGGAUUAAAGUUUGCCUUGCGAGGCAAU
rnacentral:rRNA from 1 species